UUGCCAGGAAAAACUUGAUUGUCAAAAGUUUUCUGUUUUUGCUUGAGUUAGAAGUUUUUUUUGUGAUCGCUUGUUUUUCGGGGCUAACGAACGGAAUUUAAGAAUCUAUCUGGUCCAGGACCUGAGGCAGAGGCCAUAAACGUACAAGAAAAAUUUUCCGGAACAAACAAACCGGUGGAAUAAAAACAAAAUUGAGAUGUGACCCAGGAAAACAACCACAAAUUGA